UUUUUUCAUUGGGGUAGCCCCCAAAGUAUUGGGAUGUAUAAAAAAAAGACAACUCUGUUCCGCAGAGUAGAUGUUGACAUUAUAGUUGCGCAGGAACUUUAUUGACUCUAAAGAACCUCGGGCAAAUCGCACAUCACCGUGCGGAUGUCAUCCAUAUCAACUUUCGAUGCCAGUUUCUGCGCCUACCAUGGUGACCACGAGUAACGGGGAAUCAGGGUUCCAUUCCGUACAGGGACCCUGAGAAAUGGCUACCACAUGCAAGGAAGGCAGCAGGCGUGCAAAUGACCCACUCCCGACGCGGGAUGGUAGUGAUGACAAAUAACAAUUCAGGAUUCUUUAGAGGCCCUGUAAUUGUAAUGAGUCCACUUGAAAUCCUUUAAUUUUGAUCAAUUGGAGGGAAGUCUGGUGCAGAGCCACUGAUCCGUGCGUGCUGCAGCUGAAACUCCACUA